rnacentral:rRNA from 1 species
UACGAAGGGGGCUAGCGUUGUUCGGAAUUACUGGGCGUAAAGCGCGCGCAGGCGGUCUUCCAAGUCAGUGGUGAAAGCCCGGAGCUCAACUCCGGAACUGCCAUUGAAACUGUUUAGCUUGAGGACGAGAGAGGUGAGUGGAAUUCCCAGUGUAGAGGUGAAAUUCGUAGAUAUUGGGAAGAACACCGGUGGCGAAGGCGGCUCACUGGCUCGUUUCUGACGCUCAGGCGCGACAGCGUGGGGAUCAAACAGG